UGGGGAUGACGUCAAAUCAUCAGUGCCCUUAUGACCUGGGCUACACACGUACUACAAUGGGCGUAUACAACGGGAAGCGAAAUGGUGACAUGGAGCAAAUCUCACAAAGUACGUCUCAGUUCGGAUUGAAGUCUGCAACUCGACUUCAUGAAGUCGGAAUCGCUAGUAAUCGCGGAUCAAGCAUGCCGCGGUGAAUACGUUCUCGGGCCUU
rnacentral:rRNA from 1 species